AUUGAACGCUGGCGGCAUGCCUUACACAUGCAAGUCGAACGGUAACAGGUCUUCUGGUGCUGCCGAGUGGCGUACGGGUGGGUAAUACAUCGGAACGUGCCCGAUCGCGGGGGAUAACGAAGCGUAAGCUUUGCUAAUACCGCAUACGAACUACGGAAGAAAGCGGGGGAUCGUCGGACCUCGCGCGGCCAGAGGGGCCGAUGAAAGAUUAGGUAGGUGGUGGCAUAAAAGCUUACCGAGCCGACGAUCUGUAGCUGGUCGGAGAGGAUGAUGCGCCACACUGUGACUGAGACACGGCCCCGACUCCUAGGGGAGGCAGCAGUGGGGAAUUUUGGACAAUGGGCGCAAGCCUGAUCCAGCCAUGCCGCGUGCAGGCUGAACGCCUUCGGGUUGUAAACUGCUUUUGUACUGAACGAAAAGGUGCCUUCUAAUACAGGGCGCUCAUGACGGUACCGUAAGAAUAAGCACCGGCUAACUACGUG
rnacentral:rRNA from 1 species